rnacentral:rRNA from 1 species
UAAUAGACUACCCGAGGUAGUCCUGGCCGUAAACCGAUGGAUACUAGGUGUCGCGGGUAUCGACCCCGUGCGGUGCUGCAGUUAACGCAAUAAGUAUCCCGCCUGGGGAGUACGCACGCAAGUGUGAAACUCAAAGGAAUUGACGGGGACCCGCACAAGCGGUGGAACAUGUGGUUUAAUUCGAAGCAACGCGAAGAACCUUACCAGGACUUGACAUCUGAGGAACCUUGCAGAAAUGUGAGGGUGCCUUCGGGAACCUCAAGACAGGUGGUGCACGGUUGUCGUCAGCUCGUGUCGUGAGAUGUUGGGUUAAGUCCCGCAACGAGCGCAACCCUCGUUGCCAGUUGCCUGCAAAAGCCUGCUUUUGUAGUGCUCUCUGGCGAGACUGCCGGUGAUAAACCGGAGGAAGGUGGGGACGACGUCAAAUCAUCAUGCCCCUUAUGUCCUGGGCUACACACGUGUUACAAUGGGUAGGACAGCGAGCAGCCAAUCAGCGAUGAUGAGCAAAUCUCUUAAACCUACUCCCAGGUUC